UAUGUUUUAGUAUAUGAUGUAUAGAAAUUUUUGAUAUUUCUGGGGAUAGUUUAAUUCUAUCAAAUAUAA
rnacentral:tRNA from 1 species